UACGUAGGGUGCGAGCGUUGUCCGGAAUUAUUGGGCGUAAAGAGCUCGUAGGCGGUGUGUCACGUCGGCCGUGAAACUUGCAGCUUAACUGUGGCGUGCGGUCGAUACGGGCAUCACUGGAGUUCGGCAGGGGAGACUGGAAUUCCUGGUGUAGCGGUGAAAUGCGCAGAUAUCAGGAGGAACACCGGUGGCGAAGGCGGGUCUCUGGGCCGAUACUGACGCUGGAGGAGCGAAAGCAUGGGGAGCGAACAGG
rnacentral:rRNA from 1 species